rnacentral:rRNA from 1 species
UACGAAGGGUGCAAGCGUUACUCGGAAUUACUGGGCGUAAAGCGUGCGUAGGUGGUUCGUUAAGUCUGUCGUGAAAGCCCCGGGCUCAACCUGGGAAUGGCGAUGGAUACUGGCGGGCUAGAGUGCGGUAGAGGAGAGUGGAAUUCCUGGUGUAGCAGUGAAAUGCGUAGAGAUCAGGAGGAACAUCCAUGGCGAAGGCAGCUACCUGGACCAACACUGACACUGAGGCACGAAAGCGUGGGGAGCAAACAGG